UCUGAAUGUGUGGUGCGACAGGAAGAUCAGUGAAACCAGAAAUUGGAGGAGACUGUGAGUUGACCCUCUCCUCUGUUCUGGCCUCACUGUGUGCCUCGGGCAACUCAACUCCGGGUUCCAUAAGCAUUUGUGUCUGUCGGCUUCAUGGCUGCAUCUCCAGCAUCUGGAACAGUGCCUGUCAACACGUAUUGCGUGGAAUAAACUGGCCGCCCGAUGGGCAUCUUUCUUGGUUGCGCACGGUGCUCUGGGCCCCGAGCUAGCCCUGGGGAUACAACAUUGAAUCGGGCUUGGUCCCUGCCUUUAGGAGCUUGCUGCACGGAGGGGGCAAUGCGAUCGCCGCCAUUGAUGAGACUCUGUUGUGCAGGCCGGCUUCGCGUCGGUCGCCUUAUUUCAGCCUCCGAUAGCCACGAAGGGCCCGUGCGGUCGUGCCUAUCCCACGGGCGAGCAACUCAAAGCUCAGAGAGGUACCACUGUGCUCGGGUGAUCAAGGACCCAGACUCUGAAGCCGGACAGCCUGGAUGUGGCUCUGGGACUUCGUCGCUGUGUGACUUGUGGCAUCUUACUCCACCUCUCUGUGCCUCGGUGCCUCGGUCUGUAAAAUUGGAACAAUAGUGACAGUUUCAGAGAGUUGUGCUGAGGAAUAAAUAAGGGGAUGGACGUGGGGAGCGUUGAAAACCGCUCCAGGCACAUAUAUACAGUCACUA